CGCAUCUGUGCAUGCAGCAUAUCAAUAAGCGGAGGAAAAGAAACUAACAAGGAUUCCCCUAGUAACGGCGAGUGAAGCGGGAAGAGCUCAAAUUUGAAAUCUUAAAGGGUUUCCCUUUACGAAUUGUAGUUUAAAGAAGUGUUUUCUGUUGAGGUUUUGGUAAAAGUUCUUUGGAAUAGGACAUCAUAGAGGGUGAGAAUCCCGUAUUUGACCUUUACUUUCAACUUUGUGAUACACUUUCAAAGAGUCGGAUUGUUUGGGAAUGCAGUCCAAAAUGGGUGGUAAAUUUCAUCUAAAGCUAAAUAUUGGCGAGAGACCGAUAGCGAACAAGUACCGUGAGGGAAAGAUGAAAAGAACUUUGAAAAGAGAGUUAAACAGUACGUGAAAUUGUCAAAAGGGAUGCGUUUGACACCAGUGUUGUUUUUCUGAAAAUCAAUUAAAGAACUGUUUAUGCUAAGCUGUUUAGACUUUAUCAGCUAACUGUUUAGUUUUGAGCUUUUCUUUAAUGCACUUUUCAGUUAACAAGUCAACAUCAAUUUCUUUUGCUGUAAAAAAGCUUGAGGAAGGUGGCUUGAGAUUCGUCUUAAGUGUUUAUAGCCUCUUGCCUAUGCAGUCGGAGAGAUUGAGGUCUGCAGCGUAGAUCCUUCGGGGCUAAAUGCAUUUGUGCUAAGUUAUAGCAUUUUAUAGACAACUUGUUGACUAUGAUUUGUCUUGUAGCUUACUCGCUUAUGUUAUUUUACCUACGCUUAGGAUGUUGAGCGCAUGUCUCUCUCU
rnacentral:rRNA from 1 species